rnacentral:lncRNA from 1 species
ACAUAUACAACCCAUUAUUCAACAAACAGGACACAAUUAUCCAAAAUAUCAUAAUUGAAAAAAUACAAUGAUGUAGAUUUAUGAAUAGCUGCUCAUAUGGCAUAUCCCAGUCUUAAACUACAAGUAUAUAGAUGGCGCCAAAGUGUACAAUUGUUCAAGGAACAGGACAAAAAUUAUCCAAAUUGUUAUGAGUCAAACUACAAGUAUAUAGAGAUACGCGUAGCUGCUCAAUAUGGCAUAUCACAGUCUCAAAACUCCCCAGAAGGAUAAAGGACUCAAAGUUGAUUAAAACCACAUCAUCUUCUACCCAUCCAUGCCCUCGAAUCUCCGGCAUCUCGUCUUGUUUCAUGCAGUAUGCUCAAUAUACCUAAAAGCCUCUGCAUUUCGGCAGGAGGAUGGUAUCCAGAGCGCUGCAAAUAAAGAGCAAUAGCCAGGGUUACUUAAUAAACUUUCAACAUAUACAAUGACCACAAUACAGCAAAAAUGCAAUUUACUCUGCUCUCAAGACAAGACAGUAAAAAUGCAAUUUACUCUGCUCUCAAGACAAUACAGCAAAAAUGCAAUUUACUCUGCUCUCAACAGGACAAACAAUAUAUGGUGAUACAAAGAAGGCAUAAUAAUUGCAGUACCGCUAACAAGUGUUUUCCGAAAGCACAAGAUGAAGAAACUCUUCUUCCAGAGAUCCAAUCGGUGACAGAACUUCCCAGGAGGAAUUCAAUGGCUGGCUGUCAUUCAUCUGUCCAAACAAGUUAGUAACUGAGAGAGAAUAUGUGGGCAUGCAACAGG